UGGCUGAACCAGCGGAUAAAACAGCCGCGGCAAUUUCUGCACUCUCCAACACCCACAAGAUAAUCGCCGAAUAAUCUACAAUCCCUAGGAAACGAUGAAACUGGGAUCCUGGAAAACGCAUGAUUGAGCGUCUCCUGUAAGGGCUUUGGAAGUUUCUUCGUGGAUUGAAUGCGCUCAAACUGAGUUUCAGGAAUCAGAUCGGAAAGCUUCUCGGUCAAUAAACAAACAUGUUGUUCGAGAAUUUAUCGCAAAUACCUCAACUUCUGGGCACGUGUAUGGAUGUGUCUCCUUCAAACGCCACUUGCCAUUUCCGGUACUGAGGUGAGCAACACCUGGCCAGUGCCUCUCCAUCUCUUUUCUGUAAUCAAAGGUAGCCAACUAGCAUGGAACGGCUGCUGGUUCUUUUGGUUUCCUCCCUAAUUGGAUUGAAUGAUGAACCCAAUCCAAAUAUUAAUCCAAUCCAACCUUUAUUCCAACCCAA